rnacentral:lncRNA from 1 species
AGGGCCACACCCAUGGCAUAUGGAGGUUCCCAGGCUAGGGGUCAAAUGAGAGCUACCGCUGCCAGCCUGCACCACAGCCACACAACGCAGGAUCUGAGCCACAUCUGCGACCUACACUACAGCUUAUGACACCACCAGAUCCUUAACCCACUGAGCGAGGCCAGGGAUUGAGCCUGCAACCUCAUGGUUCCUAGUCAGAUUUAUUUCCACUGUUUAGCCUUCAUUGGUGUAAUAAACCCCAGUGCAUUAUGCAACCAACAAAAGGGAUGCUAGGACUUGGAGGUGAUUCUGCGGUACAGUCCUAGAUGAAGGGCUCAAGGGCAAGGGAUUAGGACUCUGGAGACUCCAAUGUAAAAGUCUCAAAAGGUAGGAAUUCACCUUUUCUACUAGUUUGGAGAUUUUGCCAAAUCAUAGCAGAUUUAGAAGGUAACUUUGUCUUAGGAUGUAGGGAUUCAGAGAAGAGAAGCAUCUCUUUGGAUAAAAAGAGGCAACAUUACAUCUGGGGGUUUCUUGUUCUUUAGUGGCUAAAGAGUUCUUGGCUAGGCUCAAGACACAGCACAUUCUAGGUGGGAAUACUGCUCACCAAGCAAACAGAGGACAGGUCAGAAGGCCAACCCAGGCUGCCAUGGCUGCUAGCAACAAUGGAAACCGUGGCUGCCAGUGUGGAGUUGCUACUUUGUGUCAGGGCCUCAUUCUACCAUUAUUUCCCCCUCCCCUUUUUUUGCAACCCUAUGGGGUGGAUAUAAUCAUCUAUAUUUUACAGGAAGGAAAGGAAAAGUGAAGUUCAUCACCAUCAAGGUUAAGUAAUUUGGUCAAAUUCACACAUUUGGUGGUAAGAGACAGAAUUGGGCUUUGACACAUAAUACCCAAGACUGUGCCUAGUGUCCUUCCAGGUGGAGCUAAAGGACUCUCAUUGCAGAAGAGGACAGAUAACCUCAUCUGUCAGUAGACACUGUUUGUUGAUAGGGGCUGAUGAUACAAACCCCUGGGACCAAAAUCUAAGGACCACAUUAAAUUACCUUCAGAAAUUUUCCUCUAGGAAGUCCAAAGGAGAGACAUGGACUUCCUUUGGCUACAAUAACCUCUAUAGGAUGAAGUCUAGCCUUUCCUCUCCAGUUGAACCUGCUCAUGUACAGAAGUUCCAGGAGGCCACAAGGAAACAUUUUCUCAUGCCUGAAAUCUUGGUAGAACCUGGAGCCAAGAGGAUAACAAUCAUCCUGGACUAUUCGACUCCACCCCCAAAAUACCACCUUUGGAAGGCAUCUGGGCUCUUCUAGAUUUAAGUAUUCCAGUCAUAAGUGUCACAAAACAGGAAACACAGAAGGUCUGGGCUCUAUGAUUUGAAUGAUUUUGAGGAAACAAACAAGAAAAUCUUGAAAAACAGAGGAAGGUGAUGAUUUUUAAAACAGAGGGUUAAGUAUAUCACGUAUAAAACUGAUCAAGAAAAAGAACUGGUGUGUAAAUUCAACCUGAACUGAGAACAAGAGAUUCCCAUUCCUCUGGAAUAUCAUGUGUAGUUGAGUAUAAAGGCAUUUCUCCCUAUCUUGUUCCUGUGCUGGGACAAUCAUGGUUCAGAAGGCGAUAGGUUGGUUUUUUUGUUGUUGCUGUUUUUUUUGUUUUGUUUUGUUUUUAGGGCCACAUCUGCGGCAUAUGGAGGUUCCCAGGCUGGGGUAUAGUCAGAGCUUCAGCUGCCAGCCUAUGUCAGAGCCACAGCAAAGCAGGAUCCGAGCCGUGUCUGCAACCUACACCACAGCUCAUGGUAACGUUGGAUCCUUAACCCACUGAGUGAGGCCAGGGAUUGAACCCGCAGCCUCAUGGUUCCUAGUCAGAUUCGUUUCCUCUGCACCACAAUGGGAACUCCCCAGAAAGCAAGAGUAUGGAAGGCAAGAGGCAUGACAUUAUUUGAAGAGCACAUAAAACAGUAUGGGAGGUUCCUUGCAUCCCAACAGACCAAGCUAAAUAAUUGAUCUGAAGUUAUUUCAUCCCUGAGCACAGAUAGCUGAGGCCUGUGAACUGAGUUAAUUCUGUGUUGUGACUCCAGACUGCCCUUGCAUGCAUACACCAGUGGUGUACACUGCAUCUUUAGAGGUUUCUUACACCAGGUUCCUUAAAGGACUUUGUAGCCAAGAAGCCCUGUGGCUCAGUAUAGCACAAGCACAGAUAAGAAAAUAGCAAAGAAAAAGAGGUCCCUGGUGAUCUCAAAGAAUUUUCUCCAAGAACAAACACACAAAAACUGCAACUCUCUCCAGACAUUCUAAUAUUAGCCUUUGACCCCAGCUUCAGCCCAAUCUAGUGGGUUUACUUCAAUCCCAAGGUGGCUGUGGGGCCCAUCACCAGAGCAAGCAGUGAGAUGCAGGAGGAACUCCCCGGCAGAAGAACCAUUGAAAACAAAGUACCAAAGGGAUAGGGCUUAGGUUUCCUGAUGGGAAAGAAAUGGCCAGGCCUCCCUGGGGGGUAUUCUAGAAGACUCAGGAUAAAGGGCCACCACAGCCGAUUUACACAGUUGUAAAGCACCUAUGCUUCAAUUUUAAAACAUUAAAAAUAUUUUCAAAAACAAAAGGAAAUCAUGGGGAGAAUUCUUAAAAAUGAAAAAAACAAUGGCCAAUGUAUUUGUUAGAGGUCAACCAGAAGCUGCUUUUUGAAAUACCAGACAAAAGUAGUCAAAGUGCCAUCUCUCUCCACCUCCUUUGCAUGGUGUCCUUCCCUGGAUCCCACGGCCGCCAAAUGAAAACCUCUA